CCCUUUGAUGUUCUGGGCCGCACGCGCGCUACACUGAUGCAUUCAACGAGUUUCUUCCUGGUCCGAGAGGAAUGGGUAACCUUUUGAAAGUGCAUCGUGAUAGGGAUAGACUAUUGCAAUUAUUGGUCUUCAACGAGGAAUUCCUAGUAGACGUAGUUCAUCAGACUGCAUCGAUUACGUCCCUGCCCUUUGUACACACCGCCCGUCGCUCCUACCGAUUGAAUGCUCAGGUGAGCCAUUCGGACUUUCAUCAUGCUGGUUUCCAGUUUUGAUGAAGGAAAGUCUUGCGAACCUUAUCAUUUAGAGGAAGGAGAAGUCGUAACA
rnacentral:rRNA from 1 species